GGGGGUAUAACUCAGUAGUAGAGUACUUACCUACAAUGUAUGAGAACCUGGGUUCCAUCUCCAGCACCACAA
rfam:Ictidomys tridecemlineatus contig031406, whole genome shotgun sequence.